GCCAGCGAAGCUCACCUGGUUCGAGCACCGGUUUCGUAAUCCGGAGGCAGCGGGUUCGACUCCCGCCGCUGGCU
rnacentral:tRNA from 1 species